rnacentral:rRNA from 1 species
AUUGAACGCUGGCGGCAUGCCUUACACAUGCAAGUCGAACGGCAGCACGGGUGCUUGCACCUGGUGGCGAGUGGCGAACGGGUGAGUAAUACAUCGGAACGUACCUUAUCGUGGGGGUUAACGCAGCGAAAGCUGUGCUAAUACCGCAUACGCCCUGAGGGGGAAAGCGGGGGAUCGAAAGACCUCGCGCGAUUAGAGCGGCCGAUGCCUGAUUAGCUUGUUGGUGGGGCAAAAGCCCACCAAGGCGACGAUCAGUAGCUGGUCUGAGAGGACGAUCAGCCACACUGGGACUGAGACACGGCCCAGACUCCUACGGGAGGCAGCAGUGGGGAAUUUUGGACAAUGGGGGCAACCCUGAUCCAGCAAUGCCGCGUGAGUGAAGAAGGCCUUCGGGUUGUAAAGCUCUUUUGUCAGGGAAGAAACACCGGCUCUAACACAGUCCGGGAAUGACGGUACCUGAAGAAUAAGCACCGGCUAACUACGUGCCAGCCGCCGCAGUAA